UGCAAGUCGAGGGGACCGCAAGGUAACCGGCAAACGAGGUAGUAACACGUAGGUAGAUCCCCCGAAGUCGGGCAUAGCCAUCCGAAAGGAUGGGUAAUUCCCGAUAGUCCCGCAAGGGUAAAGGUUUUUCGCUUCGGGAGUUGCCUGCGUAGUAUCAGCUAGUUGGUAAGGUAAUGGCUUACCAAGGCUACGACGCUUAGGGGAGCUGAGAGGCUGACCCCCACCGAUGGAACUGCGACACGGUCCAU
rnacentral:rRNA from 1 species